GGGAAGCCCUUCGGGGCAGGAAGACAGGUGGUGCAUGGUUGUCGUCAGCUCGUGUCGUGAGAUGUUGGGUUAAGUCCCGCAACGAGCGCAACCCCUAUGGAUAGUUGCCAGCAAGUAAUGUUGGGCACUCUAUUCAGACUGCCCGGGUUAACCGGGAGGAAGGUGGGGACGACGUCAAGUCAUCAUGGCCCUUACGCCUAGGGCUACACACGUACUACAAUGGCGCGCACAAAGGGGAGCGAGACCGCGAGGUGGAGCCAAUCCCAAAAAACGCGUCCCAGUCCGGAUUGCAGUCUGCAACUCGACUGCAUGAAGUUGGAAUCGCUAGUAAUUCGAGAUCAGCAUGCUCGGGUGAAUGCGUUCCCGGGCCUU
rnacentral:rRNA from 1 species